rnacentral:tRNA from 1 species
GUCCUUGUAGUUCAAUGGAUAGAACACUAGCCUUCUAAGCUGGAUAUCCAGGUUCGAUUCCUGGCGAGGACA